UACGUAGGGGGCAAGCGUUGUCCGGAUUUAUUGGGCGUAAAGAGCGUGUAGGCGGCUAGGUAGGUCCGUUGUGAAAACUCGAGGCUCAACCUCGAGACGUCGAUGGAAACCAUCUAGCUAGAGUCCGGAAGAGGAGAGUGGAAUUCCUGGUGUAGCGGUGAAAUGCGCAGAUAUCGUAAGGAAGACCAGUGGCGAAGGCGGUUCUCUGGGCCUUACCUGACGCUGAGGAGCGAAAGCGUGGGGAGCGAACAGG
rnacentral:rRNA from 1 species